AAAAAGGCCCCUUUGACUCCCUAAUUAUUUUCUUUUUUUCUCUCUUUUCAUUAACGAUUCAAAAUUCUUUAUCUUUCUCAUUCAUUCUACUCUUUCACAAACAAACGGAUCCAAGCGGAAAAUUUUUGUCUUAUUCUUACCACACCACAAGCUUUGUGAUACACAUACAAAUGGAUAUCUUUGAGCAUGGCUAUCUUUGAGCAAGGAAUCCCCAUUUGAAUGAUUUACAAUCCAUAUCAUUACUCGUACUGAAACUUACAUUUUGAAGAUCAAAAAAAUGGGUAAAACUUUGUAGUACUUUUUUUUUCGUCUUUUUAAUUGACAUAGACCUAAGUCAUCUAAUAAAAUGAGGA
rnacentral:tRNA from 1 species